CAAGCCCAAGUGCUGCAAAUGAGAGGGCCCUGAAGCAAGGGUGCAAUCUCUGCUCGCUAAAUCACUGGGCUGUGCUCAUCGGCCAUAAACAUGUCACUGCUGAACUGGGUCAUUCCUCUGCGAGCGUGCACAUCAAAGCUGGCUCUAUUUAUUUUGAAAUCUUGUUAAGCUUUGAUUCCUGCGCUUCUUUCACACCGGGUUUCAGUUACUGAUUGCUGCACGACUGCGCUGUUACCCAGCAUUACCCACAGUAUGUAUUCUAUCAGAUUUCUUUUUGUUCCGAGCGAGAUUCUUGUCUUCCCAGCUAUGUUAUCUGUCUUGCAUAACUCUCUGCGUGUGAUGCCUUUUUAGGUUUUGUAGCCUUCAGGGCAGUUCUGAUAUCCUGUCCUGCAGCAACUUAUGUUUGGUACAUUUUUGUUUAUCAAAGUCUUUUGUGUGACUUUGACUUGCCUCUGCAUGUGAGCGACCGUCAGGGUUCAUUGAACUCGUUUGUGACUUUUUCAAAACAGGAGACAAUAUAAGUCCUCUAAACAUAUGUACAGUGGUGGACAAACUUGUUGGUACCCCUUAGUUAAAGAAAGAAAGUCCACAAUGCUCACUGAAAUGACUUGAAAUGUUCAACAGUAACAACAAAUUAAAAUUUAUUGAAAAUUAAAUCAUCAAAAUCAGCCAUUACUUUUGAGUUGUUGAUUAACAGAAUUAUUUAAAAAAAAAACUAAUGAAAUGGGGCUGGACAAAAAUGAUGGUACACACAACUUAAUAUUUUGUUGCACAACCUUUUGAGGCAAUAACUGCAAUGAAACGGUUUCUGUAUUUGUCAAUGAGCCUUCUGCACCUGUCCACAGGUAUUUUGGCCCACUCCUCAUGAGCAAAGUGCUCCAGUUGUCUCAGGUUUGAC
rnacentral:lncRNA from 1 species